rfam:Triticum urartu cultivar G1812 contig470104, whole genome shotgun sequence.
GUAGUACUUUCCCCGUUCCGAAUUACUUGUCGCAUGUAUGAAUGUAUUUAGAUGUAUUUUAGUUCUAGAUACAUUCAUUUCUGCGACAAGUAAUUUGGAACGGAGGAAGGAGUAC